UGGGGAAUUUUGGACAAUGGGGGAAACCCUGAUCCAGCCAUCCCGCGUGUGCGAUGAAGGCCUUCGGGUUGUAAAGCACUUUUGGCAGGAAAGAAACGUCGCGGGUUAAUACCCCGCGAAACUGACGGUACCUGCAGAAUAAGCACCGGCUAACUACGUGCCAGCAGCCGCGGUAAUACGUAGGGUGCAAGCGUUAAUCGGAAUUACUGGGCGUAAAGCGUGCGCAGGCGGUUCGGAAAGAAAGAUGUGAGAUCCCAGAGCUUAACUUUGGAACUGCAUUUUUAACUACCGGGCUAGAGUGUGUCAGAGGGAGGUGGAAUUCCGCGUGUAGCAGUGAAAUGCGUAGAUAUGCGGAGGAACACCGAUGGCGAAGGCAGCCUCCUGGGAUAACACUGACGCUCAUGCACGAAAGCGUGGGGAGCAAACAGGAUUAGAUACCCUGGUAGUCCACGCCCUAAACGAUGUCAACUAGCUGUUGGGGCCUUCGGGCCUUGGUAGCGCAGCUAACGCGUGAAGUUGACCGCCUGGGGAGUACGGUCGCAAGAUUAAAACUCAAAGGAAUUGG
rnacentral:rRNA from 1 species